GGUAAUGGCAGGAGUCGGAUAAUGUUCUUCUCUCUUUUAGCAGCCAGGCUCACAGAUAAGGCUAAGGCUACUCUAACAGGAAUAUUUGCAAGGCAAAUCCUGAGUUCCAGUUUCUGACAUGAGUACACCGGAGAUGUUACAAGAUGUCUGAAACAAGGAGCUGGGUUUGGAGAAGAAUAGAUACCCUGUUUUGCUCUCCACUACGACAAGCUGAAAUGUGUUGUGACAUCUAUACGAAAUGAUUUGGAACCAAUCUGAUGCUUCGUGGAGAAGAAAGAGGACACAAAACAAUGGAAGCAACAGUCGGUGUACAGCAGCAUUUGCAGUAGCAAACAAUGAUGGGGAAUCGAUACCCAUAGAGUUAGCUGGAUCCAAGAAUGGGUCGGAGAUGAAGAGGCAUGCGUUGCAUCCAUGUCAACUUUCUCG